CAACAUCCUUCAAACACUACACAUUUUCCUAUCAACUCUAACUAAGAAAAAGAAAACCCGGUUCUGGUAACCGUAACCGAAACCGAACACCAUACCGACACCAUUUCUCAUUCACCACUAUGCCUACUAAGCCACUUAACUAUCUCUACUAAUUCACUCAAAGCUUUAACCACAGAAAACAUACUACCGGAAAACCAUUUCCGGUGAAGAAAUACUAAUUCCGGCGAUACUUACGUAUUUUCCGACGACGUCUUUUGUAACCAAAACGUGUUUUUGACCAAGGUUUAUUCGAACACGCUUGAUAAGUUUAUAUAUUUUUAAGACAACAAUCAAGAAACAAGGUACGGAUCCUUAACCCUCUCCCUUUGUUAUCUUAUUCUUUUGCUAUAAACCCUUAUUUAUAAUAUAUGUAUGUAUAUAUAAAUAUAUCUCGAAAACUCCAACGUCUUUGAGCCUCGAUUCAAUUGACUGUCUGUUCAUUUCUUACUCCGAUUAAAAUUAUUAUUCAACUUGACAACAUACGAUAAGUUUAUGAUUAUAUUGUGCUCAUUAUCGCAUGUUCUGAUUCUUAUAUAUUUGUUAAUGUUAGUGUUAUAUUUAUUUUUGAUUAUCUAAGAUCUGCUACCCUAAGCUUUCCGGCUCCUCCCGUGACGGAGUUAUCAGUUCACGGCGUCCCUAGGUACAAGUAUGGUACAUAGAGACUAGGUGGCAUACGGAUAUAUAUCCUAGGUAUGUUUCUGGAGAAGGAUGUCGGGUAGGCCAACCCGCUUCGUCUCAUGUGACAGACUUUGUGGCUGUCACCUCUGUUUAGCUUUUGGGUGCAUCAGUAUGAUAUGAUUCAGUUCAGUUACAUGUUAUGCUUUGCUGUGUUAUGCUCCUUGUCAGUGAUAUCAUUUCAGUCGUUUAUUUGUUUGCUAUUUGAGCCUAUUAUUCCGUACUGGGCAUUUGGCUCAUUCCGUAUAUUUCAUUUCACUACAGGUUCACAGGUUACUUUGGGCGGGGUGGAGAGUGAAGAAUAAACCCUAGGAUGCUAAUCGAAGAUGUUUGUCACUUUUAUAAAAUAAAUAUGUAUUUUGGGCCUCAGGGCUAUAAACCUUAUUUUGAAAUGUAAGCCUAAGUUUAAUUAAUGGAUUUAUGACUUCUGUUAUGAUCCACUAUUAUAGUGACACGUCAACCCAUCGAAGGGGAAGAAGAACAUCGGUGGAAGACUCCUUGGUCAAGUAUGUGUAUACCUUGCGAGAAGCCAUUGAUGAGAUGACAUCAGUGGAAGAAGCCUUAAUUGACCGUAUUAACCAUUUGUCGGUGGGGUUAGAGGGUUUCCUUCAAGAAGUCAACCUUUUGCACCAAAGGUUGAAUAUUCUUGCUUCACCUCCCAUGGUGCCAAUCGUCGCACAAAGAGGGUGGAAUGUCAUGCCGGAAGUUAUUAUUCCAGCCGGGUGGAAUGUCAUGCCUCCGGAACCUCCUCUAGACAUACUACACGGGGUUACGGUAGCCGUUGGGCCUCCUCCACAAGACAUUGUGGAGAAUGAGCCCGCCUUCUUUCUCCCUAGGGAGAAAGAGGAAUGGCUCAAUGUCAUUUAAAAGACAUCUCCUGGUUCCGAGUUCUACAAAGCCCUUAAGUACCGGAAAGUCAUUUCCGGGUUUUUAUCAUUCCAACAACAUUUAGGGUAGAAGUCCUUAUUGAUUUCCUGCAUUUUAUGACCUAUCUAUCUUAGGAUCUUUGUAGUUUUUCUUUUUAGCAACUUUUUUUUUUUAAUUUUUAGGAUCUUUGUACUUGUCGUUUUUUUUUUAUGAAUGAUGGUUUAAAAUUAUUGAAUGGUGUUUGGAUGAUGCUGUAAUGGUUAAAUACACUCGAAAAAGUGGAGGUUACCAGGGGAAUGUUAAAACCACACCCCAUGCACAAAAACAGAGCCUCCCGACAAUUUUCCAGCAUUACAGCAAGUUCAGCACGGGGCCGUGCUCAGCUCAACAUUCCCCGUGCCUAAGGCUCUGCAGAAAUUUGCUCAGUUCAGGACCAAAUAAGCUUAAACGAGCAAAAGGAACAUACAGCAAAAAACAACAUAAAUACAAAGAAAAGGAAUAAACGUGACAUGCCCGACCCCUCGGCAGCAUCCCCAAAAGCAAAAACAAGAAAUAGAAAACUGACCACGGGGUCGUGCCCACUGGACACGGGGGCGUGGUCAGCCACCUGUAGAAAAGACAAAGCCGUGGAAGCUUCUACGCCCACCAUGGGGGGCGUGCCCAGCUGAGUACGGGGCAUGGUAAACGCUAAGAAACGCGGAAUCUAGCAAAAUCUUGGUAGUACAGAUACGCUUCUACCCACGGGACCGUGCCCAGCGAACACGGGCCGUGUGGAGCCCUAUACUGACAAAUGCAAUUAAUGAAGGAAGAGAAAAGGAUGGCCACAGGGGCGUGUCCGCUAGACACGGGGCCAUGGCCGGGCUUCUGUUCAGACUAUAAAUAGGGGUGCUUGGGUCACUUCAAAUGCAUCCCUCGGCAAACCACUACUCUCUCACUUUGCCACCACUACACCACCAACACCCACCACCAUCAUCCAUCAUCCACCUUUAGA